UACGUGGGGGGCAAGCGUUGUUCGGAAUUAUUGGGCGUAAAGGGCUCGUAGGCGGCCAACUAAGUCAGACGUGAAAUCCCUCGGCUUAACCGGGGAACUGCGUCUGAUACUGGAUGGCUAGAGGUUGGGAGAGGGAUGCGGAAUUCCAGGUGUAGCGGUGAAAUGCGUAGAUAUCUGGAGGAACACCGGUGGCGAAGGCGGCAUCCUGGACCAAUUCUGACGCUGAGGAGCGAAAGCCAGGGGAGCAAACGGG
rnacentral:rRNA from 1 species